UAAGUAUAUUUCUAAAGGUUUAUAAUUUGAGUAAUGUUCUUUUAGUAGACUGGUUUUCCACAGUAUGUCUGGAAAAUGAAGACAGUGUGGAAAACAAAGACAAAAAAAAAGCAGUAGGGAAAAGGGAUGAUCUUUAGAUGUGUUCACCGCAUUCCCUCCAGUCCUGUUUUUAGCAUUUGACUACAUAAUCUGCUCUUGUCUAGAUAAAUUACUGAGUCCCACAGAUCAUCAUUCUUUCCACUCAUCUCAAAACCAUAAAUCACCAUCUCCAAAGUAUGUUUUGAUUUAUGUGGUGCUUUGUAAAGAAUACACCCAAGGCUGAAAGUGAAUUACAUAUCAGAGACAAAGACUACAAAUAUUUUGUUGAUGGAUGUUCCUCAAGCUCAAUUGUGUAUGUUCAUGCUUCUGCUAUAUGCAGUUUUGUCCCUUUUGUCUAAAAUAUACCUUGAUUUCCUGGUUAUUCUUCAAAAAUCCUUUGAGAUUCAAAUCUAGCAUCAUAACUUCUAAAAGGUAGUUUUUGAUUUUACCCCAUAGUUACAUGAUUUUUAGUAUUUCCUGUGACCUAAAAAAUGUACUAUUUUGAAAUUAUUAUCCUUCCUAUCACUAAAUCAUUAUUUAAUUCUCACAUUAUGAGGUAUAUAUUAACACAAGUUAACCAAGGAGGAAGCUGCAGUUAGAGGAGAUGAAAUAUCUUCUUAAGACUACACAGUUAAUAUGUGUUACCAGUUAGAUGAGACCAGAUUAGAGCCCAUGUUGUAUAGUCUAUGGUCUAAGAUGGUAGAGCAUUGUUUCCAAAGAGUGAUGGAUGAUCCUCUGCUGCUUGGUUGGAUGACUCUUGAUGGUACAUGGACAUCUUCACAUGAAUAAUUUUCUGUUUACUCAUUUGCUAUGACGCACACAGAGAAUAAGGAAGCAAGCCAGUUUUCAGCAUUUUAUAAAAUUUGUUUCAUUCUUUAUUUUGAAGGAAGUGAUAAAACAUUACAAAUAUAGUUGAAGAUCACCUUGUGUCCUGUCCAGAUCUCAUUCCCCUGUGACCUUCCUCAGUGGCAGUCUCUCUUUGCAGGUCUAUAUCCUCCGUUGGAUAAAAGAAAAUGGCUAAUUGUAUACUGUGAGAGACCUAAAAUUGCUAAUUAAUACUUCUAAUAUUCUUCUGGUUGUUACCCCAUUGCAAGACUGAUCAGCUAACUACAUGCACAAAAUGAAGAGGAGAAAGAUUUGUUGAGGUAUUUUGUUAAGCUUUGUAUGAUCUCCUGUGCUCCUCUUUUCCACUCAUUGAUAUGCUUCUGAGCUCUAUUCAAGGCAAAGUGAGAAAGUCUAAUGAACUGCUUCUAACUGCUGCAUGAAUACUACACCAUGGUUUGUAUCCACCACCUGCUUUUUAAAUGAUGAUCCUUCUGGCUGUCUUCAUCUUCCUGCUGCCAUGAACUGUUCCAAAGCGAUUUUUUUCAUCUGUGUCUUGUUUAUAUUCAUGAGAAUCUUUGAUUUAUAUUCUCCCAAGUGAAACCACCGAGCUAUACCUAUAAUUUGCCUAAGCAGUUGUCAGUUGUUCUCUGUAGUGGCUGCAAGACAAUCUACUUUUCUUCUAACAUAUGCUUUGUUCUCUUGCUAACUAUAUGCCUCAGUCUGGUAUCUGAUAGCUUUCUAACAUUUUGUCAAUAAAAUGAUAUCUAUGCUGUCUUAAUUUGUAGAUAUCUGAUUAUCAGUUAUUUUAAAAUAUCUUUUUGUUUUGGCUAGCUGUUUUUAGUUCAUUCUGUAAAUUGUCUGUUCAUAUUCUUUAACCAUAUUUAUUGGAUUUGCUACCUUUGUUUUUCUGAUUUAGAGAAUGCCUUUGUGUAGUCUAGCUAAAAAUUCUUGGUUUUUGAACUUUUAAAAAAUAUUUUCCUCUACUAUAAUUUUUAUUUCAUGAUUUUUUCAGUUAAAAUCAAGCUGUCUUUAGUUGAACAGAACAGAUUAAUUAUGAUAUUAUCAAAUUAAUCAGUGUUUUCCUUUAUGGUUUGGGCUUCUUAAAUUUGAAGGGAAGUCUCUCCAACUUAGAGUUGCAAAUAUAUUUUAUACUUCUUUUUAUUAGCACUGUAGUUUUCCUACUUAUAUUUAUAUCUGUAGUUCAAGUAGUCUGUCUGUAUGUGGAGUGAAAGAAGGCCCAAAUUAGAUUUUUCUUCAUAUAAUAAGCUGUUGUUUUUACCAAUACCAGGUUCUAAAUUAUCUCUUUUUCUCUCAUUGUGUUUUGCUAUUCUGUUUUUAUUUGUCUGUUGUUUAUCAGGCAAUGUCAUUUUUUCCUUUACAAAUUUAAUUUAGUUAUUCACAGACAUUUGUUUGUCAAAAUAAAUUUUACAUAAAUUUGUAAAGUUUCUUUAGAAAUCCAACUAAAAAUUCUAUUGAUAUUGCAUUAAACAGAUAAAACUGGGGAAACCUGGGAACCUUAUAAUAGGUGGUGCUAUCCAAGAGUAUGGACAGUUUCUCUGUUUUUUGAGUAAUAUUUAUUCUUCUAUGUCUUUUUGUAAUUUUUACCUAUCAAGGCAUUCACUACUUUCAUCUUUGUAUUAUUUGUAAUUUUUCAGUAUUGUGACUAGUAUCACAGUUGAUUUGCCUUUUCUCAUAGGUUAUUACUUCUAUAAAGUAAUUAAAAUUAUUUUUAUAAAUCAAUACUUUAUGAAGUCCUGUAAUACUCCCACUAUCUUGUUUUGACUGACUAGACUCUGUUCCAUUCUGUAUGAUAGUAUCAAGUUUGAGGGUAUAGGCAACUACUUUGACGGCAAUAAAAUUCACUAAGAUGCCCAUUCUGGUUUGACUAUUGUCUCCUUUGGAAGUCCUGUAAUGUUUACAAUGCCUAAGUUUUAUUGGUCUUGUUCUCUACUGUUUUGUUCAACUUUAUAAUACCUGAUGAGAUAGACAAUUCUUUUUAAGGAAGCAAGAGGCAUUAUGGUAACCAUUGUUGAUAACCUUGUACUCUGUUUUACAUCAUGUGCUAUGUCUAUCCUUGGUUUUGACUGACAGCUUUGUUUUGCCAUAUUUGACUUUAUUCACUUCCAAAAAAAGUAAUAAGAACUAAGGAGUAAUAAAACCCAAAAUGUAUAAAUUUUGUUGUAAAAAAGAGAGGGAAAUAAAGUGCUCUAAAGGAUACCAGUGCAAAUGUGUUUAGGGAUGUUAAAUAGCUGACCAUAUUAAUGUUUUUGGUUGGAUCAUUGAACACAACUGUUUGCAGUCUCAGUGUUUGAAUGUCCACUUUGUAUGCUUUGAUCCUGAGACUUGAGCAGCUAUCUCUAAGAUGAUAAUGUGUAAUCUAUUAACUGGUGAUUUAUUACUGUUUUUUUUGUAGUUCUGUAUUACUUGUACCAUUACACUGCUUUGUUUUUUCUCUUUUCCCCUUUUAACUAAAAUUUAAAAAAAUACUUUAUCUGAAAGCCAUGCUAAUCUUUUUAUUAAUUCUAAUAUUGUACUUUUUAUGUUAUAUGUGUUGCUGUUGUCUUUUAGGCAGGUUUCUAUUUUUACAAGUAAUUAUAGUUUUCUCUUUCUAAUACUUAUGUUUUUAAUCAGUUCAUUUUUUUAUUUAUAGCAUUGGUGAGAGCAGACCGUACUAUGUUCAAAUGCAGCAAUAAUAGACGGUAAUUAUUAUCUUGUUUCUAUCUUACAGAAAAUGAGUUUAAAUUUUCUUCAUUAGUUAUAAUACUCACUUUUUCCCCAGAAUAUAUAUUAUAGAAAUCAUGAAGGUAUUGGAAUAUGCCUCAGUAGUACAGCUCUUGUUCAGCAUGUGUGAGGCCCCAGGCUCUAUCCCCAGCACCAAAACAAAUCAAUAAACAACAGCAGCAAAGACCAACUGAGGAAUUUUACAUUUAGAAUGCUGAAAAGUUUCCCCUUCUUCUUUUUUUCCUUCCUUCCUUCCUUCUAGGGAAGCUAGAAUGGUUACCAUCUACUUAUUGUGCAGUUAUUUUCCAGGAAAUAUUCUAUUCAUUUUACAUGUAUUCACAUCAUCAGCCAUGCUUUAAUAAAUACUAUUAUUAUUUCCACUUUACCCACGAAGCAAAAGAACUUUAAAAGGUUAGAUUUUAAUAUAAUAUCCAAAAAAUAAUAGAGAACUGACACUCAGAUCUUGGUCAGGUUGACUUCAAAGGCAAAUUUUAAUAAAAUGCAAACAUCAUGGGUACUGCUAAGUACUAUUUAUCUAAAGCUUCCCAUCACUGAAGAAGCUCUAACUGCCUUCACAUUUAUCAGAGGAAUGGCAUUAAAUCACCUUUUCAGUUACAUUUUCUCACACUGGCAGAAUUUAACUCUUAAAAGAAAUUUACAUUUGUUCAUUUUAUGUUGCUAUAAUAAAUUACCUUAAGCUGGGUACUUAUACAGAAAAAGAAGUUUACGUAGUUUACAGUGCUGAAAGUCUGUGGCUGAACUCAUGUCUUUUCUUUCAAUAAGAAUAAAGGUAUUUUUAUGUUAAUAUUACUCAAAAACAAAUGAUUGUACAAGGUAAUUCUUCAUGAAAUAAAAGCUAACAGUUCAUGCUGAAUGAAGAAUAUUUAAUAGAUUAUUUUUCUAAGUAUUAAAAAUUUUGCUAUCAAAAAUAGCUUAACUAUUUGCCAUUUUAAAAAAAACUACAAAAUAAAAAUCUUUCUUUAACAUGGGGAGAAAAACAUAUCCCUAGUAAAAAUCUUUAAUACACAAUCAAUAUAUAAGAAUUUCAUCAAAACAAAAAGUGAUAUUUAUCUAUAAAAGUUGUUUUCUUAACUUUUUCAUCAAAAAUUAAUACACAGUCUGUGAAAAUUUUAAACGUUAUUGGAAAAAAUUCGUGAAUUUUUGGAUCAUCCUUGUUAUAAAUACUUCCAUUUAUCCUGACUGCAACCAACUGAUUUCUUUUUUGUUACACAUAUAUAUCCAAAUGCUGCAAUUUUACUUAAAUGCUUCAAUUAAACAUAAUUUUUCUCCUUUAAUCUAUAAAUGUGGAAAAUUAUGUUAAUAUAUUUUUUAUUUUUAAACUGGAUUAGAAAGGUAGGCUAUGUCUAUAUUGAAUCAUUGGUUAAGGGAUUUGCAUUUGCUGUCUAACACUUUGUGAAACCAUAAAACAUUCGUGAAGAAAAUAAUGCUUCACACAGGUUAAUAUGGUCAAAGGGCUAGAAUGAAGUGAGGUAGGAAUAGUUAAGAUGUGGAUGAGGCCAGAUGAACAAAGGAAUAAUCGUAUAGUGAAAUGAUUAGUAGGAGUCAGGAGAACCAGAUUUCUGAUCACAUUUCUAUCACUAAACCUGUGCCACCUCCAGGAAGUCACUUACCUUUUAUUGACUUCAGCUACCUCCUUUUUAAAAUGAGUGAUUUGGCUUGGAUCUACAAAUUCAUUAUUUCUUUCAAACAUGCAGUUUUAUAAUUCUAAAUGAUGCAAAGUCAGAUCCCACCCACCCACUAUGAGAAAGCAAGACAGAAGGAUCUGACAGAAAAUUUAAAAGUAAGAAUCUACUUGGCUCAGCUACUAAUUGAACUUAGUGUACAAGUUGAACUGUCAAAAAGAUUUCCAAAUGUCACAGCUGGGUGCCACAGAACAGGCAGUGCUCACAGUUAAAUGGAAGUGGAACCCUGCAAGAUAAGUUCGUUUUGUUGGAAGAUCUUAAGUUAAAAUUUGGACAUUAGAGCUCACCUCCCUGUUAUGCGGCCUUGAACCUACCAGUGCACAGGCUGAGAAUCAAAUACCCCUCUCCCCCCUGGCAAAUGGGAGCCAGAAGUCUGAGCAUCUCUUGAGAGGUUGACCAUAUGUAAUAUAGCAAAUAAGGGAGAUUUCCAUCUAACAUCUCUUUGAAGGCAAAUAUUUUUAUCAAUGUUUUGCUUUGCUCUGAUUAAUGGUAUUGCUCUAUUUAAUAUUCUGUUUUGGUAACUUUUAUAAUGUUCUGUAUUUAGUUUGAUUUUGAUAUACCUGAUUGAAAGAACAACUAUUGUAAAGAUAAUGAAAUAUACUAUGGUACCUAUUACUGUCAUCCCGGUAACCUGCUGUGAAGUUCUGUACCAAUUUCAGUACACUGUCUAAAUUGGCUUUGUUCAGUCUCCUUCUGUUGUAUUUUUACCUUCAAAAUAAUAAAAAAAAUUUAAAAAUUUGGAUGUUAGCUCUGUGGACUUUGUAGUUGUGUUAUUUAAUUCCAGGAGGCACUCUUCAUUUUAUAGUCUAUAUGCAUAGACUCUCUUCAAACCAGGAAUUGUAUAGCUGCACAGUCGACACAGUCAUUCAGAACAUUUUUCAUUGUGGAUAUACACAUAGAACUGUACAAAAGACAGUUGGAUAUGAGUCUGGUACUUGGGAAGGAGGAUGUCUGGCAAAUACUGGUUUGAAGUUCAAUAAUUAGUGGUGGAUAAUAUAUCCACAAUAUAUCUCUGUGUGG